CACGUAGUUAGCCGGGGCUUCUUAGUCAGGUACCGUCAUUUUCUUCCCUGCUGAUAGAGCUUUACAUACCGAAAUACCUCAUCGCUCACGCGGCGUCGCUGCAUCAGGGUUUCCCCCAUUGUGCAAUAUUCCCCACUGCUGCCUCCCGUAGGAGUUUGGGCCGUGUCUCAGUCCCAAUGUGGCCGGUCACCCUCUCAGGUCGGCUACUGAUCGUCGCCUUGGCGGGCCGUUACCCCGCAACUAGCUAAUCAGACGCGGGCCCAUCUCAUACCACCGGUAGUUUUUACCGGCUGUACCAUGCGGUACCGCGGUCUUAUGCGGUAUUAGCAGUCAUUUCUAACUGUUAUCCCCCUGUAUGAGGCAGGUUGCCCACGCCGUUACUCCACCCGUCCGCCGCUCAGUCAGACUGCUCGCCUCGAACGAUUUAAAGCAGAAUGCUUCGCUCGUACUGCAUGUAGUUAAGCCACGCCG
rnacentral:rRNA from 1 species